UUAUACCGUGAAACUGCGAAUGGCUCAUUAAAUCAGUUAUCGUUUAUUUGAUAAUACCUUACUACUUGGAUAACCGUGGUAAUUCUAGAGCUAAUACAUGCUGAAAAUCCCGACUUCGGAAGGGAUGUGUUUAUUAGAUAAAAAACCAAUGCCCUUCGGGGCUUUUUGGUGAUUCAUGAUAACUUUACGGAUCGCAUAGCCUUGCGCUGGCGACGGUUCAUUCAAAUUUCUGCCCUAUCAACUUUCGAUGGUAAGGUAUUGGCUUACCAUGGUUUCAACGGGUAACGGGGAAUUAGGGUUCGAUUCCGGAGAGGGAGCCUGAGAAACGGCUACCACAUCCAAGGAAGGCAGCAGGCGCGCAAAUUACCCAAUCCCGACACGGGGAGGUAGUGACAAUAAAUACUGAUACAGGGCUCUUUUGGGUCUUGUAAUUGGAAUGAGUACAAUUUAAACCUCUUAACGAGGAACAAUUGGAGGGCAAGUCUGGUGCCAGCAGCCGCGGUAAUUCCAGCUCCAAUAGCGUAUAUUAAAGUUGUUGCAGUUAAAAAGCUCGUAGUUGAAACUUGGGCCUGGCUGGCGGGUCCGCCUCACCGCGUGCACUCGUCCGGCCGGGCCUUCCUUCUGAAGAACCUCAUGCCCUUCACUGGGCGUGCUGGGGAAUCAGGACUUUUACUUUGAAAAAAUUAGAGUGUUCAAAGCAGGCCUUUGCUCGAAUACGUUAGCAUGGAAUAAUAAAAUAGGGCGUGCGUUUCUAUUUUGUUGGUUUCUAGAGACGCCGCAAUGAUUAACAGGAACAGUCGGGGGCAUCAGUAUUCAGUUGUCAGAGGUGAAAUUCUUGGAUUUACUGAAGACUAACUACUGCGAAAGCAUUUGCCAAGGAUGUUUUCAUUAAUCAGUGAACGAAAGUUAGGGGAUCGAAGACGAUCAGAUACCGUCGUAGUCUUAACCGUAAACUAUGCCGACUAGGGAUCGGGCGAUGUUCUUUUUCUGACUCGCUCGGCACCUUACGAGAAAUCAAAGUUUUUGGGU
rnacentral:rRNA from 1 species